UUGAAAGGGAAACGAUUGAAGUCAGUCGUACCGACGAAGAAUCAACUUUUGGAGUGCGAAUCGAGGUAUUCGAGGAGUUUAAAAGCCCUUGUGUGUUUCGUAUUCGUGCUUCUUGGGUGCUUUUCUUCGUAUGGUAGGUUAACAUCAAUUUUGGACGUUACAAAAUGAUCGGGGGAAUGUAGCUUCGAUUUUUCGAAGUGUUAUAGCCCUUGGUAGAUGUGACGACCGGGAUUGAGGAUUGCAACGAAUGCUUUCGGGCUAUCCGUCGGACCUCGGGUGGUUGCUUUAGGGUCGAAAGCGUGCUUACGACUUUAAAUNUGGCUAUUAAAAGUNUAGANUGUGAUUNNCANGCANCNNACUUNCGUUAAGGAUGUUGACGUA
rnacentral:rRNA from 1 species